GCGUUCUCACAAUUUCCUCAUUUCCUCUCUAUUCAUAUCUUCGAGUCAAUGUCUCGUUCUUAAACAAACACGCUGCUUUCACAUGGAUCGAUUCCUGAUCUACACACCAAUGGUUAAUAUUCCAUUGUUUUCUAUGGAUAUGAGUUCUCGUUCCUCAGAUCUAUAUUCCGAGGCGCAAUCUUCGUAUUCGUCUUGCUUUUAGGAACCUCUUCAUGUUCAUCAACCUAGUUGAGAAUUGAGAACUCUUUGCAGGUACAAUUGGAUCGUGUUGCAAACUUGUCUUGCAAUGAUUGCGAAUCUCGUCGUCGAUUUCUUCAGUAUUGAGGAGAAGAUUAUUAUAAGAGAAGCGAUGAUGCAUUCUUCAAACGCGAAUUUGGAUUUGUGUUGUGAAUUUAGUUACAUGAAGAUGAAAAUUCUGUGAUUGUGGUUUGAGGAUGAAAAUCUUUGUGAACUGACCUUUGCCAUGACAGGUGCGCUUGCAUGGCAGGUCAAGAAAAAACAUGAAUAAAAAACAAAUAUUUUGUUGUUUUUGAGGAAGAUCGCACGGGAAUUGCCCGGGAUCUUCCUCUCGUGUGGUGUGUGUGAUCUUCUUCUUUUCCCGUUAUGCUUUCGUUUUUUCAUUAUUGUUCUAUUCUACAACGCAUCACAAAGAAACAAAUCACAACACUGAUCGCGAAGAAAUUAUCACUAUCGCUGGAUUUUCUCUGUCGCUGACAGAAUAAGAGAUUGCUUAAUGGACUUCUUCAAUAAUUAUAUUUGUGAGUUAAGGUAAUUGAUGUUUUGGUAUUUAAUCUAAAUUUCAAUUCAACUUGCUUGCAGAAGAUUGUUGAUAGAAAUUGGAUCUUCAAUUGACUUCAGAUAUUCAAUUGCAGUUAUACAUUCUUUCUUUAGUGUCUUCAGUAUGAUUAUUUAUGAAUUGUGAAUAAUAACAAUAUGCAUAUAGCAAGAAAUUGUGCACAAAGCUUAGGCGCGGCUUGAGCCAAAAGUUAGAAGAGAAAAUGCAUUAUUCACAAAACUUACAAAGUUACAAUUUGGUUCACUUAUUUAUACAAUGUAAAUGAUAAGCUAAUGAUUACAAGGAAACUAACUAACUAUUGAUUACAAGGAAACUAACUAGCAACUAAUCCUAACCAACUUUGGGACAAAGUAGUUAUGGAAGUUAGAUGACUUGUGAAGCAAGUAAUCUCUUCAUUCCUUCUUGCCUUUAGUUGUUUUUUUUUUCGUGUCGUUCUUGCCUUUAGCUUUAACAGUAGUUUUUUAAUAUCAAUGAAAUCAUUCCAAGUGCCAUAUACACAGGAUCUGUGAAACUAA